GAUUGGUUUUUCGCUGCCACUAGAUUGAUCAAAAAAUGUCUCAGUGAACCAUGGAAGGAUGGACUUAUAUUUGGUUUCUCAAGUGACCGAUUAAGCGCUCAACAACUUCGCAAACGACCAGUUGCUGGUACUUUUUUGCUGCGAUUUUCUGACAGUACACUUGGCGCAUUGACACCUGUUUACUUAGCAUACGAUAACAAUUCAAAAUUAGUGAUAAAGAAGUUUAUGCCAUUUGCAAUUAAAGAAUUUGAAAUUUCAAAUGACCCGAUGUAUUAUGGAAUUGGCAACCUUAUCUCUGAUUUAAACGAAUGCACCCAUCUUGCUAAUGGUGUAUCGAAGACUGAGGCAUUCAAAAAACACUACAAAGAUGUAGACAAAUUAAAUGGGAGUUACCAAAAACGAGUGAAUACUAACUCGCCAUCGACAUCAAAAUUUUAAAAAUACAACCAGACUUUUCACCGUCACCGGCACAGAGCGUUGAAUCUGAAAUAAAUCAUUCAAUUGCUUCACCUGACGUCAGCUCAGCUCCACCCAACACAGUACCAAUCGACAACACUUCCGCCAUUUGUUUUUUUUUUCUGAACUUCCCACCAACCUCAUAUCACUCGUCCAGUUAUAACCUGUCACCAAUACACAUGCGACCAUUUUAAAUCGAGAUGGUAGUAGCAACGACGAAGACGAUUUAAAUGUUUUGAUG